rnacentral:rRNA from 1 species
AACGAACGCUGGCGGCAUGCCUAACACAUGCAAGUCGAACGAGACCUUCGGGUCUUGUGGCGCACGGGUGCGUAACGCGUGGGAACCUGCCCUUAGGUUCGGAAUAACUCAGAGAAAUUUGAGCUAAUACCGGAUGAUGUCUUCGGACCAAAGAUUUAUCGCCUUUAGAUGGGCCCGCGUUGGAUUAGCUAGUUGGUGGGGUAAAGGCCUACCAAGGCGACGAUCCAUAGCUGGUCUGAGAGGAUGAUCAGCCACACUGGGACUGAGACACGGCCCAGAAUCCUACGGGAGGCAGCAGUGGGGAAUAUUGGACAAUGGGGGAAAGCCUGAUGCAGCAAUGCCGCGUGAGUGAUGAAGGCCUUAGGGUUGUAAAGCUCUUUUACCCGAGAUGAUAAUGACGGUAUCGGGAGAAUAAGCUCCGGCUAACUACGUG